rnacentral:tRNA from 1 species
GCCUGAGUGGCUCAGUGGUUGAGCAUCUGCCUUUGGCUCAGGGCGUGAUCUCAGAGUCCUGGGAUCAAGUCCCACAUCGGGCU